UACGAAGGGGGCUAGCGUUGUUCGGAAUGACUGGCGUAAAGGGCGCGUAGGCGGCUUGAACAGUCAGGCGUGAAAUUCCUGGGCUUAACCUGGGGGCUGCGCUUGAUACAUUUGGGCUUGAGUGGGGAAGAGGGUCGUGGAAUUCCCAGUGUAGAGGUGAAAUUCGUAGAUAUUGGGAAGAACACCGGUGGCGAAGGCGGCGACCUGGUCCUUACCUGACGCUGAGGAGCGAAAGCGUGGGGAGCGAACAGG
rnacentral:rRNA from 1 species